CCCAGCGCUAGAGAAAGGUAAGUAUUUAACCCCCUUUAGAAAGGCUGGAGUGGGCAAGUUUGUUUUCCUGGCACUAUAGUGGUCCUUUAAGAAAGGUUUGGCAAUAUGUUAAAAAAAAAACGAAUUACAUUAACUUGUUGACUUUGAAGUCCUAUGAAUGUGUUCUUCACUGAAAGAAAGCAAUAUCUGGAUUAAAGUUUGGAUUAAAGUAUUUAAUCUUCCGGAAUAAUAAGCAUUGUUUGUUUGGGCCAUGAAGCCCCUUGAUAUUAAGUGAUGAUACCUUCAAUGCCAUUUUGACUAAGUGUAGUUUGAAACAAAGGCAGUGUUAGAGUCAUAGAGAUAACACCUCCGUGUUUAAGCAGAAUACCCCUUUUGGGCGAAUAUGCCUAUUACCCACCCUGUCUGCG